GACGAACGCUGGCGGCGUGCUUAACACAUGCAAGUCGAACGGAAAGGCCCUGCUUUUGUGGGGUGCUCGAGUGGCGAACGGGUGAGUAACACGUGAGUAACCUGCCCUUGACUUUGGGAUAACUUCAGGAAACUGGGGCUAAUACCGGAUAGGAGCUCCUGCUGCAUGGUGGGGGUUGGAAAGUUUCGGCGGUUGGGGAUGGACUCGCGGCUUAUCAGCUUGUUGGUGGGGUAGUGGCUUACCAAGGCUUUGACGGGUAGCCGGCCUGAGAGGGUGACCGGCCACAUUGGGACUGAGAUACGGCCCAGACUCCUACGGGAGGCAGCAGUGGGGAAUAUUGCACAAUGGGCGGAAGCCUGAUGCAGCAACGCCGCGUGCGGGAUGACGGCCUUCGGGUUGUAAACCGCUUUCGCCUGUGACAAAGCGUGAGUGACGGUAUGGGUAAAGAAGCACCGGCUAACUACGUGCCAGCAGCCGCGGUGAUACGUAGGGUGCGAGCGUUGUCCGGAUUUAUUGGGCGUAAAGGGCUCGUAGGUGGUUGAUCGCGUCGGAAGUGUAAUCUUGGGGCUUAACCCUGAGCGUGCUUUCGAUACGGGUUGACUUGAGGAAGGUAGGGGAGAAUGGAAUUCCUGGUGGAGCGGUGGAAUGCGCAGAUAUCAGGAGGAACACCAGUGGCGAAGGCGGUUCUCUGGGCCUUUCCUGACGCUGAGGAGCGAAAGCGUGGGGAGCGAACAGGCUUAGAUACCCUGGUAGUCCACGCUGUAAACGGUGGGUACUAGGUGUGGGGUCCAUUCCACGGGUUCCGUGCCGUAGCUAACGCUUUAAGUACCCCGCCUGGGGAGUACGGCCGCAAGGCUAAAACUCAAAGGAAUUGACGGGGCCCCGCACAAGCGGCGGAGCAUGCGGAUUAAUUCGAUGCAACGCGUAGAACCUUACCUGGGUUUGACAUGGAUCGGGAGUGCUCAGAGAUGGGUGUGCCUCUUUUGGGGUCGGUUCACAGGUGGUGCAUGGCUGUCGUCAGCUCGUGUCGUGAGAUGUUGGGUUAAGUCCCGCAACGAGCGCAACCCUUGUUCACUGUUGCCAGCACGUUAUGGUGGGGACUCAGUGGAGACCGCCGGGGUCAACUCGGAGGAAGGUGGGGAUGACGUCAAGUCAUCAUGCCCCUUAUGUCCAGGGCUUCACGCAUGCUACAAUGGCUGGUACAGAGAGUGGCGAGCCUGUGAGGGUGAGCGAAUCUCGGAAAGCCGGUCUCAGUUCGGAUUGGGGUCUGCAACUCGACCUCAUGAAGUCGGAGUCGCUAGUAAUCGCAGAUCAGCAACGCUGCGGUGAAUACGUUCCCGGGGCU
rnacentral:rRNA from 1 species